AUUGCAAACACGAAGCUCUUCCAGAAACGCCCUCACAGACACCCCGGAAGUCACGUACCCACUCUGUAGGUGCCCCGGGGCACAGGCAAGCGGACGAGCCAGUUAUCCCUCAGAGCUCCUGCUGCCUCGCCCGCUUUCUCUCGGAAACGUGAAGUGUGGCCUCAGCUGAAAGUGAGGUGGGCCUCAUUCAAUCAGUUGAAUUCUUCAAGAGAGAAAAACUGAAGUCCCUUAGAAGGAAAGAGUUCUGCCUUCAGACUGUCUUUGAACUUAAGACUGUAGCGUCGACUCCUGCCGGAAUUUCCAGCCUGCUGGCCAGCUCUGCAGAUUCACACUUGCCAGCCUCCACAAUCGCAGCUGAGGCGGAGGAACCCUAAGGGCUCAUUGAGAUCAUGGAUUUGCCCUUCUAUGCAUUGAUGGAGCACCUGCUGCCCACAGCGUCUGUAUUUGGUGCUGGGAUGCUGAGGACACUGAGAUCUUCAAACAGAGGCUGCCACUCUAAGCAAACAGAUCCCGAGCCCUGGACUCUGAAGCUUGGGCCCAGUUCUCCUUUUCUCCGGGUUUCAGAUCCCACUGUGAAGUGAGGGGGCCCUUCUGAUUCAGGACCCGGGGAAGCCAGGGGCAUGAGCAUCGGUGCCUCUUCUCUAUUUCAAGGACCCUUCUGGGUGUAAAGUUCUCUGAGAUGCCUUACAUGGAUUCCCACCACUGCAAGAUAACCAUCGUAUGAGGCUUCAGGCUUGACCAAAUCUGACUGGCUGGCUGCCGGAGACACUGCUACCCAUCGGCCCUUAAUAAAUGGCCUCAUUUGAUCAUCAUGUGAUCUUCAGAAGCUGGGCUUGAUUAUCCUUGCCAAACAAAAUGCUGAAACCAAAAAUCUGAAAGGUCCUUUGGAAGAUGAGGAUGAAGCUCUUGUGAAUGGAAUUCGUGACCUUAUAGAAGAAGCCCAAGAGAGCUGCCUUG
rnacentral:lncRNA from 1 species